GAUGGCGACAGCUGUCAUUUAUUGGAUGUUUAUUUGAAGGUGCAAAACUGUCAAAUCGCAGAAAGUAUCGUUAGUCGAUUUUGGUUUUUAAUUGGAAUAAAAUAUCGUAGUUUCGUUAUUAACGUAAUAAAGACGGCCAUAUGGAAGAUAAACCCAUUUUUGUAAGCUGCCUCAUUACAAUGGAAUUUUUCCAAAAAUGUGAACAUUUAGUAAUUACGCUACGUCAGAAUUAUUACAAUGGUCGGGUCUUGCAUUCAUAAGUUAUUCGAUUUCCAUACACCCAGCUGCACAUUUUGCAAGACUACCACGUUUCAAAGUUACUCACUGUUACUUAUGAUGGCUUACAAUAAGGAUAAAUUCAAAAUGAUACACUAAAUGGAUAUUAAUUAUGUUCAAAAUAUAUUAUAAUAUACGACGCUGUCACUAUCACUGUA